UUGUCCUUAGUUACCAGCACGUUAUGUUGGGCACUCUAAGGAGACUGCCGGUGACAAACCGGAGGAAGGUGGGGAUGACGUCAAGUCAUCAUGGCCCUUACGGCCUGGGCUACACACGUGCUACAAUGGUCGGUACAAAGGGUUGCCAAGCCGCGAGGUGGAGCUAAUCCCAUAAAACCGAUCGUAGUCCGGAUCGCAGUCUGCAACCCGACUGCGUGAAGUCGGAAUCGCUAGUAAUCGUGAAUCAGAAUGUCACGGUGAAUACGUUCCCGGGCCUU
rnacentral:rRNA from 1 species